AAAAGAAUAAAAGGCAAAACAAAAACAAAAUACUAGAAUUUAAAUUGACAAACGACCGGUAAUACAAGACGUUUGGAAUGUCCUUAAACCAUAGAAUUAUAGGACAUGUGGGCCAGUAAAAUAAAGCACAUCGGCGUAGCCGAAAGUUAUACUUACUUAUCCCUUAAUAGGAUAGAUGAAAAAUUUGAUUCAAAUAAUGUGGAAGGAUCUGAAAUACUAUUUCGUGUUAGUUGGGUGAGGACAAAAACAAACUGCAAGUCGCUACUGAGACAAUCGGACGAAAAAGAGAAACAAUCGGACAUGGAGGACUAUUAAACAGGAACGGACUUUUGGAUUCAGAUAUUUUGGAAAGUAGACAUCAUAUUGUUUAAUACUUUCCUUCAAGAGGCAGAGAGAGCAAAUUAGAUGCUCUCCUGAAUCGCCCUCCAAUCCAGCUUCAGACACUAGACAAAAUAUAUAAACGUUGACGGCAAAUACAUACUAUACAUACAUAUUAACAACCACAGACACAAAACACAGGCCGACAAAUAUGCGACAAACUCAUCACCUAAAACUAUAAGUAGCUAAAUUGUCACAAAUUACACUUUCGUCGGCCUGUAUUGAUCCUUGUGUCUGGAUAUUUACUAUCUUAAAUUUAUGGCAAGAUAGUUAGUCAACCUCUCUAAAAUGUAGACUGAACAUUAAUUGUGUAUUUGUGUGUGUGUGUAAAUAUAUUCAUACAUAUGCACGUACAUAUGUAUGCAUAUAUAAACGUGAAUGUAAAAAUCAAUAUCUUUGAAGAGAACAAACUAUUAAAUACUAAAUAAGAUAUUUUUCACACCAUUUAAUAUUAAACAACGAUUUAACAAUUCCUAGUUGUUUUGAUAUAAAA